GGGCGGGGCGAGUGCGCCUGCGCGGUGCCCGAGCCCGGCCGCAGCCCUGCGCCGGCGGCUGCUCCGCGCGGACCCGAGUCGGAGCGGGACUGCGACGGGCCGAGGCGGCGGCGAGGCGGCCCCGCCCCGGGGUUCCAUUGUUGCGGCGGCCGCGGCUCUGCCGGCUCUCGGCUCCGCUCCACGGUCCCGGCGCCGCCGGCAGGGAGCGAGCGCUGCCGCAGAGGCGGGGAGCAAUGGAAGAGUUAAUAGUUGAACUUCGACUCUUCCUUGAACUCCUGGACCACGAAUAUCUGACAUCGACCGUCAGAGAGAAGAAGGCGGCCAUCGCCGACAUCCUGCUGAGGGUGCAGUCAGCCAAAGGUUUUGAAGUGAAAGAUCAUGCUCAGAAGCAAGAGACCCCCAACAGCCUGCCAGCCCCGCCCCAGCUGCCUCUGCCGGAGAUCCCGCAGCCGUGGCUGCCGCCGGACAGCGGGCCGCCGCCGUUGCCGACGUCCUCCCUCCCAGAAGGCUACUACGAGGAGGCUGUGCCCCUGAGUCCUGGGAAAGCUCCGGAGUACAUCACCUCAAAUUAUGACUCAGAUGCGAUGAGUAGCUCCUACGAAUCGUAUGAUGAAGAGGAGGAGGAUGGAAAGGGGAAGAAAACGCGACACCAGUGGCCGUCCGAGGAGGCUUCCAUGGACCUGGUGAAGGACGCCAAGAUCUGCGCCUUCCUGCUGCGGAAAAAGCGCUUUGGCCAGUGGACCAAGCUGCUCUGCGUCAUCAAAGACGCCAAGCUGCUGUGCUAUAAAAGUUCUAAGGACCAGCAGCCUCAGAUGGAACUGCCGCUCCAAGGGUGCAACAUUACAUAUAUCCCAAAGGACAGCAAAAAGAAGAAACACGAGUUGAAAAUUACUCAGCAAGGCACAGACCCGCUUGUUCUUGCAGUCCAGAGCAAGGAGCAGGCCGAACAGUGGCUGAAGGUGAUCAGAGAAGUCUACAGCGGCUGCAGUGGGCCCGCGGACCCGGAAUGUCCCCCGCCGUCCAGCUCCCCGGUGCACAAGGCAGAACUGGAGAAGAAACUGUCUUCAGAGAGACCAAGCUCAGAUGGAGAGGGUGUUAUAGAAAAUGGAAUUACGAUGUGUAAUGGAAAAGAACAAGUUAAGAGGAAAAAAAGUUCCAAAUCAGAGGCUAAGGGAACCGUUUCUAAAGUCACUGGGAAAAAAAUCACCAAGAUCAUCGGUUUGGGAAAGAAAAAGCCGUCAACGGAUGAGCAGACCUCCUCCGCCGAGGAGGACGUUCCCACGUGUGGCUACCUGAACGUGCUCUCCAACAACCGCUGGCGCGAGCGCUGGUGCCGGGUGAAGGACAACAAGCUGGUUUUCCACAAGGACAGGGCUGACCUGAAGACCCACAUUGCUUCCAUCCCACUCCGCGGCUGCGAGGUCAUCCCGGGUCUGGAUUCCAAGCACCCCCUGACGUUCCGGCUGCUCCGCCACGGACAGGAGGUCGCCGCGCUGGAGGCAUCUUCUUCUGAAGACAUGGGCAGAUGGAUUGGGAUUUUGCUGGCUGAGACGGGGUCCUCGACAGACCCCGGGGCUCUGCACUACGACUAUAUAGACGUGGAGAUGUCUGCGAACGUCAUUCAGACAGCGAAACAGACCUUCUGUUUCGUGAACAGGCGACUUCUAUCUACUAAUCCCUAUCUAGGGGGCACCUCCAGCGGCUACGCCCACCCCAGUGGGACAGCGCUGCACUACGACGACGUCCCGUGCAUAGACGGCUCGUGGGAACCCGACGAUGGCUUUCCUGCCCCCGGCGGCCGCGGCCCGGGAGAAGAGGUGCUUUACGAUAACGCGGUUCUCUACGAUAACUUGCCGUCUCCGAAAAUCUUUGCACGCUACCCGCCCGCUGGCAGAAAGGCUUCUAGGUUGUCCACUGACACACUGUCCUGUAACCAUUACAAACACCCCACCUCCUGCAGCCCGCCUUCCGCUCAGUCUGUCACUAACACCUCUUCUCUGGGGAGGGCGUCUCUCGGGCUCAACUCCCAGUUGAGGGGAAAAAAGCCCCCACUAGCGUCCAGCGGGGUUACAGGAAAAGGGAAGACUCUGAGCAACCAGCAGAAGAAAGCCGAUUCGGCAGCCAGCGUGAAGCGCACGCCGUCGAAUGCUGACCAGUACAAAUAUGGCAAGAACCGAGUCGAAGCAGACGCCAAGCGGUUGCAGACCAAAGAGGAGGAGCUGCUGAAGAGGAAGGAGGGCCUGCGGAACAGGCUGGCGCAGCUCCGGAAGGAAAGGAGAGACCUGCGGGCUGCCAUCGAAGUGAACGCGGGUAGGAAGACCCAGGUGAUUCUGGAGGAUAAGUUGAAGAGGCUGGAGGAGGAGUGUAAGCAGAAGGAGACGGAGCGCGUGAACUUGGAGCUGGAGCUGACAGAGGUCAAGGAGAGCCUGAAGAAGGCCCUGGCAGGCGGCAUUACUCUGGGGCUGGCCAUCGAGCCCAGAUCGGGGACAUCGAGUCCACAGCCCAAAUGGCCCAGCUCGUCCUUCUGCAGGCGCAGGGCCGGUCUCCUUGAGCUGCCUGCCCGCAGACCCUGGGGCUCGGCUGCUCCUGUCUCCCGAGAACGUCUCCUUGGACUUUGGUUGCCAUCACCUGCCCGGUGUCGCAGCUGUGCAUGCUCUUCCGGCCUGACCGCAUCCUUGGCAUGGUGUCUCCGGUUUUUAGGCAUCGGACUCUGGAGAACUCGCCCAUGUCCAGCUGCGAAACCAGCGAUGCAGAGGGUCCCGUGCCGGUGAAUAGCGCGGCCAUCCUCAAGAAGAGCCAGCCGGCCGCCAGCAGCUCGCCCUGCCGGGGGCACGUGCUUCGGAAGGCCAAGGAGUGGGAGCUGAAGAACGGGACGUAGAGGACCGCAGGACGGCUGCAGCGCGGGCCGGCGCCGCCCCACCCGACACCGGCGAGCGCGGGACGCCGAGGGCUCGGCAGCGGGCCGGGCGUUCCUGACCGGCUCGGACGCCCUCCCCGGCCCCGGCCCACGUGUAUCCCUUCUACUGUGUAAUGGUGCCCUUAAAGAAAUUUACUGGUAACACUUUGGUUUCCAACUGUAUCUGUUCAAAAACAAAAGGGAUGAAAAGGUAUUGUGAAAGAACCUGCAGCGGACGGAGAAGUGACGUCUCUCUACCCAGUGAAGUGAGCGCUCUAACCAGCCCAGCGCAGCCCCAGGCUGAAGCCGAAUGGGGCAGCAGCCCUGGCCGAGACCCGGACGGGCGUGGAGGGGUGUGGGCCCGAGUGCCCGGGGCAGCCUCUCGGGCAGAUCGUGACCCGUGGCUCUGGGAUCGCUCGUCCGCCGGGCGCCCGGGACUUGUCACUGCGACGUGAACAGGAGGAACUCGUGUCCCAGCGCCUCCUCCCCACGUGCCUGUCCCCCUCGUCACUAGAGGUAAAAGGACGAGAAAAUCACGCUGUGAAGCAUUUUUUACCUUUUCGUUUUUUCCUUCUGGACAGAUGCCUUUGUCAUCAGGACAUGAAAAGCUGCCAAUCUUUCUGAAGUUUUUAAAGAUCUCUUUUUUAUUGUGUGUCGCACUUAGCUCCAAGGGUUUUCGGAGAUUCUGUGUCGUAUUUUGUGGAUGAUUUAUACUGCUUCUGAAAGGCAGCCGUGUGCUUUUGAUACUCCACUGAUGUGUGUCCUUCUGCUUUUCCCCAAAUCCCAAACCCUUUCUUCCCCUUCCCAGCCAGCGGGUGGCCCUCCAGAACUGGGCAGCCGCACAGCGGUCGUGGUUAGACUUACAUCUGCAGGCCGUGUACCAAUUGGGUUGUCAAUCCUUUGAAAAGGAAGCAGGUUCUGGAAACUGCAGAACGUAACAUCCUGGAGCAAGAGCAGGGCCCCGCCUGCUGCCUCUCCGCGCAGAUCCGAGCGGCGUUCUCUCCGUACAGCGGGGCGGGCUCUCCUGCAGUCCUUGUCUGCCCGCUCUGUGUGUGUCUUGGAGCGAUCAGACGCCCAGGCGUGGAGGGGACGGACGGGGCUCCUAGGUGGAGCUGGUUCCUACCCUGGGGGUCCAAGAGCCAGCCUAACUCUCCUUUGUCUCCAGAGGGACCCGCCUCCGGAGUUCUGGUUACGGGAAGGGUAGCCACCGCUGAGGACGUGAGUCAGGCCCCAGGAGGCUCUGCAGACUGGCCCAGGGGAGCGAGGCCACACGUGGAGAGCUCUUCCUGCCGAAGCAAGGACUGCCCGGUAGUGCCGUUUCGUCCCUCCCUGGAGCGUUCUUGGCAAAUACAGGAGGAGACGGGAAACAUUCUCCCGGUGCCUCCCCCGGGCGGCCUUUCCGCACGUGCUGGGUUGCCAUGCCAUCCGCAGGCCUUCCUGGUUAGGGGUCACGGUUGAUGACUGCGUCCCCGAGCCCUGGGGGGGCUGUGUUUGAUCUGACCCACUAGGGCAGGAAGCCGGCCUCCAGCGCACAAGGAAGUUUGACAGCCGGAAUUGGCAGCUGUUUAAGAGGCGUCCCGCGACACUUGAAUUGACUGCAAAGCCAUCUGCCAGGAGCGUUUGGGCUCGUGGGCGGUCGGCUGGCGCUCUCGCUCCACAGCCCCUUUCCUUGCAGCUGAGCAGCUGAGGCGCGUCCACCAGCACCGCCGAUAGCCCGGGAGAUCGCAGGGGGAAGGCGGGAGGAGGGAGCCCGCCCUCGGGCCCAUCUUCCCCGGCCCGUGGUUCUCCUGUCACCAUAGGAAGCUGGGCCGCUCUGCAUUGUGUGGAGCUCAUUUCCUGUAAAGGGCAAAAAGUUUGAUCACCGUAGGUUUUUGCUGCCUUCCAGCCAAAGUUUCUCCCCUUGAGCCUCCUGGGUCAUUCUGAUUGUCAGCCUCCUCUGCCCAGAUGACUGCCGGGCUUCCGUCGUCGUUACGAAGGGAAAGCACGAGUAGCCUGCGCUCCCGACCCUGGCCCGGCAGGGUGGGCACUGCUGGGCUGGCGGCGGACCACUGGCAGAGCGUCCCCUCCACGGCACCCCGACCACCUCCACGGGCCGCCCCUGAUAAUGGCCAGUUGGUGCCGGAGGCAGGAUUUGGGCCCUGGUCCUCAGACUCUGGGUGCACGUAUUUUGUGUUUAAAAAACCCCAGUUUUUAGUUCAUUCUAACUCACUCUCAUAACCGUAAGCCUUUUAAAGAGAAUGGUGAACUUAAACGAGUCCCGUUGUGUUCCACAGAGCCAUUUAAAAUGGGUCCCGGGGAGACGAGGCUGCCGACGCUGGCUACUGUGACAGCCUGCGUCUCCUCGAGGUUCUUAGAUUUGAUCAGAAAGUUAGUUUAAAGCAUUUGCUUCAAAAUAAGUUAUUUAUUUGUAUAUGUUCAAUAAAUAUAGUUUUUAAUUUAUAUCUGUACAUAUUAGACACACGUUAGACAUCUUGUCGCAGUUCUGACAGUGAUCUCAUUUUCUUACCCUCCCAGCGCAGCCCUGUGGCCUCUGGGCGGCCGAGGGACGACUGUGAGGAGGCCGGCCAGGCGGGUGGGAGCCCAACCCCGGCCCUCACUGCGGGCAGGGCACGUGCCACGGGCGGGAGUCAGAGUCCGUUAGAAACGUCACCCAUCCCUUUAAUAGAUGGCCAUGUCCACAGAGUGCUGGCCAGACUGUACCAGGAUCCUGACCCAAGGAGAGGCAUGCGGUGGCCACACGGAGGGGCUGGCGUGAAGUGGCCACCUCUGCAGCUCACGGGCUCCCUUAGAAGCUGAGGCCACGUUGUCAGCCUCAGGGUCUGCUUCUGACUAUAUUUUGUGUCAUCAACCUUCAAAAUCCCCUCCGUUUUUGUAUUUUUAUAAUGUUUUUUAUUUACUCACCAACCUUUUGCACAGAAACAAAGCGAUGGUCAUGGUGCUUGCUGUGUCACCACUGAGCGGGGACAUGUGGAGGCAAUCGCCCUCCUCUGCCCAGAGUCCGUGGAGGGUCAGGCAGGGCCCAUCUGUGUGCAUCAGAGAAGCCAGCAGCGCCCUCGCCGGCCUCAGGCUGGGUCCACUGCAGGGUAGCCGGUCUGGGGAGUGGCCCCAGAUGCCGGGACUCUCCCGUCAGAUGGGCGUGGCCUCCCAAACGCGGAUCUUUCCAGAGCUAUUCUCUUGGGACUGACUCUGGGGACCGGUUGCCCGCCGUGUGUGUGACUCCGGUCUUGUCCCCUCCAUUCCUACACCCUGGUGUUGCCACGCCUCGUCUUCCACCUUGUUCAUUUCACUUGUCCCUGAAGGAUUUUCAGCUAUUUCCAAAAGCCCCGCUCGACUCGGAGACGUUGGAGAUUUGCCGUCUUUUGCAAAGUCUGUUUCAGAAAGUUUGUGUCCUGGGUCCCGAAGGCCACCCUGAGGAAGGAGUCUCAGAUUUGUUUCAAUCGUGCCAACAGUUGGAGUUGGUGUACACGUUUCCAAGGGGACGGCUUUGAAGCUGCGGGUGGGCACAGGGAGCGUGGGCAAAACUCCUUUGUUUGCGGUCACAUCUUUUCCUUCCAGAAGAGAAUAUUAUCUCUGUCAACAUGCUUCCCUGGGGGAAGUGUAAGUUUUGCCCACAGACCUGGCUCACCAGGCGGUGUCCUCUGCCUCUCUGCUCGGGCUUGGCUGCAGCCCAGCCUACGGCUGGCAGGGCCUGACUGACGGCCUCUCCCAGGAGCCCGGACCUGGCCAGCCCCGCUGCAGCGCGUGCACGGUCUCCCCAGUUCGCAGAAGGGGCCCGGCAACAGUGAAAUGUGAAACUAUUGCCUUCCUCUUUUUUCUAAAAUAACUUUUUUAAUAGGAAAAAUAAUUUCAAGCCAUGGCAUAGUUUUAAAGAGGGUAAUUAUUUGUUCCUGUUUUUAUUACUGUUGUCUUCUUAUCCCCACGAUGGGUCGGGUUGAUACUGUGAAAUAAACUAAAAAUAAAGAAAGAUUCUGUGCCGUCUACACACACAGCAUCACAAUACAAGCAGAGCCACCUCUCAGUGGCCCCCCAAGUUGUGGGGGGGCUGCUGCCAUCUGUGGAGGAGGAGACCUCACCCCCGGGAGCUGUUGGCUUCAGAUGCAUCCUUUUGCCCAUCUUUUGUGAAAUGUUUCCUGUUCAUUCUUCCAGAAAAGCUCGACUUCACAAUGUACAAGUAUUAUCAGGUAUUUUUCAUUGUUGCCAUGAAAGAUAUUUUUGAAACGGGAUCAUCUGAUCAUAAUUCUUAGGGACCAAAGGUGUUUUUAAUAAGAUAAUCUUUGUAUUUGAUUUUCUAAUGAGAAAGGAAUUAUUAACUUUAAACAUCACCUUUUAAAUUAUAGAUAUUCAUCGAUUGACCGUGGCUAUAAGUUGUAAAAUGUUUUCAUAUUGAGAAUGUAAUUAUUUCCUUAUUGUAUUUUUUAAAAACUAAAGUCAUAUUUAAAAUUCUCUUUGAAAGAAGCAGACAAGAAACAGGAAGGAUUUUUUAAAUUAAAUAUGUUGGCAGUGCCCAUUUUAAAUGACUGUAAAUAGAUUUUCACUGUGUUUCUCAAUGUAUUUAAUUCAUAAAGUAAAAACUUUUACCAAAAGAAACUCGCGAUGGAAAUGGAAGUUUUCAGCCCAUUUGCCCCAUUCUGUAGAGCCUCACUUGAAUCGCCAGCUUUACUAAUUGACUUUUCUGCUGUUUGACACAGUGCAGCCCGCAGACUGGCGCCUCCGGCGUGACCGUGUGUAUAUUACUAAUAAAACCGUGCUCUCCA